GAGAGCCGGGAAGGAAGAUGGCGUCGGGGUUUGUGAGGCCGCGUCGCCUGAGGGGACGGUGUCCCCGGCGGGCUGGGACCGAAGGGCAGCCUGGGGUCUGUCGAGGAGCCCGUGCAUGCGGCCCCUGAGUCUCUGCCCACGACGGGCCCGGGAGCGUCCCGACGUCCCCAGGGGCCGCCCAGGGCCACCUCCCCCGGGCGAGUUGAAAUGCGCAGGCUCAGACCCGCCCGCACCGCCUGCGUCCCAGGCCACGUGUCCCCCAGGCGCAGGGGCCGCGUGUGCUCCUUGACCUCGGGGAGCACCUGUCCUGCGCCGUGCCCGGUCCCGCUGUCGGCGCUCCUGUCGCUACAGAUUCUUCUCCAGAAUUCCCUCUGGGUGAUGAAACGCGUCUCCAUGGAAACACCUCGAGGGUGGAUUACCUGGGCUCUUUUAAAUGGCACUGAGAAGAAUGUGGCAGGUGCAGAAUUGCCUUCCAGAACCUUCCAGCUCAGCCUGGCCAGCAGCUGGAGCAGCUGAGGGAGUGACCCAGCCAGGCCAGGUGGAGCAGAGAGCCACCAGCGGGGCCCCGCCUGAAAUCUGACCCCAGGACUGUGGGGAGACAGGAACCACUGACGUUUGAAGCCACAACCCUUUUGGAAGGUCUGUCCCGCAAGAAGAGAUAACCGACUCAGAGGGGGCACAGGUGGACUGGCCUGGAGUGUCACCAGCGGGGAGGAGCUCCCAGGUUAGAAUGAAGGGAGCAGGAGCAUGUCCCUAUUCUUGCUCUGUCUGCAAUGACCAAGGCCUCCCGAGUUUCAUGGUAAGUCGACAAUGACCUGGGCUUCUGCCCUGCAUCCCAAGGUGUGUCUACACUGGUGUGGCCCAGCUGUCUCCCUGGUCCCCCAAGUGGGUCUCUACUGGCCUGGAGCAUCUUCCUUGUCACCCUCCUGUGAUUCAGUGAAUAGAAUUUCUUCACGGUUUCCCCGACACGUCAACACCAACCUGAGGUGUCUCCCUGGUUACUUGGUGGUUCCGCACUGAGCGGAGAUGUCUGUAUGGUCACCCUGAUGUGUCCACACUGGAUGGCUCCCUGUUUUCUUAGGUGUUGUCUACACUGUCCUGGCAUAUCCGUCUGGUCUCCCUUGUGUGCUGACACAGACCAGAGGUGUUCUUGUUCCUCUACUGUGUGAACACAGACCUCAGAUUUCCCCGAAGUUUCUUUCUGUGUCUGUCCAUUUCUCCAUAUCUCCUUAGUACUCCUGCUGGGGUUACACUGGCUUGGAUGUCUCAUUGCUUCUGCUCCUGUGUCUACACCCACCCUGGUUAUCUCCCUCCCCCUACUUUAUUUAUACUGACCUGGUGGUCUCCCCACCUCUCCUGCUGAGCCUACACUGAGCCUGCGGUGGCUCCCCAGCCCCCCGGGCCUGCACGGGCCACAUGAGCUCCGUCAAGGUUUGCUGGCAAACCAGCCUGGAGCCGGUGCUCAGGGCCCCUCCCUGCCCAGCCCACAGUUCUCAGCCAGGGGCACUGGCUCCAGUCUGGAGGCGUCAGUUCGGGACUCUUUCCUGGCCUGGGAAUCUGUUUCACACAAACUCUUAUGUCAGCAAGUUAACAAGCCCCCACCCCCCGGGGCAGGUGCUGCCUCCUGCCCUCCCCCGAGCUGGACCGCCCAGCGCGGGGCCGCCUGGGCCGGAGCCGGAGCCACAGAGCAGAGGCCCAGUGGCUGGGAGAGAAGGGCUGGCUUCCUCCACCCCGAGGACCGGCCCCGUGUCCCAGGGGGGAGCGGCGGUGCCCGCGGCCCGUGACCCAGGCACCGAGCCCGACGGAAGGGAGGUGAGGUGGGGUCAGCGGUCGAAGCGAGAGGCCUACCCGAGUCUCAGACGCCUGUCCCUGCAUCUCAGGCCGCAGCCCCGAGGGUUCGGGCCCCUUCCCCAGUCGGGGCCUCGGACAGCCCCCUUGAGGCCCCCCCAGGUGAGGCCCCCUAAGUGUGGACUGCCCCCCCUAGUUAUGGACCCCGGGGUGAGGGUCCCUCGGUGUGGACCCCCCUAGAUACAGACUCCAGGUAAGGUUCCCCCGGAUGUGGGCUCCCAGGUGAGGCCCCUUGAGAAGCCCCUACAGGUGAGGGCCCAGAGAGCUGCCUUCGGGGGUCUGAGCUCAUGGACUUGACGGGGACCAGGCCUGGUCAUGCACGGGGUCUUCUGGGAGGGAGGCCCACACGUCCCCUGCGCUCACCCUCAGGCCGGUCUCUGGGAACAGGGCUGCGCGUCUCUAGACAGGGGGGUUGGCACCAGCAGUCGGGACGCCUGGGUCCCCACGGUUCCCUGGCCUCUGUGCCCCCUGGGGAACUCAGGGCGGGUCUCGUGCAUCGCCCACACCUGCCUGAGUCCCCAGGUGAGUGGCUUUGCAGCAAAUGCCCGAGCGUGGGUGGGAGGGAGCCCUGCCAGGGGCGGCCCAGCGCCCUGCUGGGUGUCACCUGCAGCUCAGCCCAGG